GACGAACGCUGGCGGCGUGCCUAAUACAUGCAAGUAGAACGCUGAAGAGAGGAGCUUGCUCUUCUUGGAUGAGUUGCGAACGGGUGAGUAACGCGUAGGUAACCUGCCUGGUAGCGGGGGAUAACUAUUGGAAACGAUAGCUAAUACCGCAUAAAAUUGAUUAUUGCAUGAUAAUUAAUUGAAAGAUGCAACUGCAUCACUACCAGAUGGACCUGCGUUGUAUUAGCUAGUUGGUGAGGUAACGGCUCACCAAGGCGACGAUACAUAGCCGACCUGAGAGGGUGAGCGGGCAGACUGGGACUGAGACACGGCCCAGACUCCUACGGGAGGCAGCAGUAGGGAAUCGGCGGCAAUGGGGGGAACCCUGACCGAGCAACGCCGCGUGAGUGAAGAAGGUUGUCGGAUCGUAAAGCUCUGUUGUAAGAGAAGAACGGGUGUGAGAGUGGAAAGUUCACACUGUGACGGUAUCUUACCAGAAAGGGACGGCUAACUACGUG
rnacentral:rRNA from 1 species